UACGGGGGAGCAAGCGUUGUUCGGAAUUACUGGGCGUAAAGGGCGCGUAGGCGGCCUGCUAAGUCGAACGUGAAAUCCCUGGGCUCAACCCAGGAACUGCGUCCGAUACUGGUUGGCUUGAAUCCGGGAGAGGGAUGUGGAAUUCCAGGUGUAGCGGUGAAAUGCGUAGAUAUCUGGAGGAACACCGGUGGCGAAGGCGACAUCCUGGACCGGUAUUGACGCUGAGGCGCGAAAGCCAGGGGAGCAAAGCGGG
rnacentral:rRNA from 1 species